rnacentral:rRNA from 1 species
UACGGGGGGAGCAAGCGUUGUUCGGAUUUACUGGGCGUAAAGGGCGCGUAGGCGGCGCAACAAGUCACUUGUGAAAUCUCCGGGCUUAACCCGGAGCGGUCAAGUGAUACUGUCGUGCUAGAGUGCGGAAGGGGCAACUGGAAUUCUCGGUGUAGCGGUGAAAUGCGUAGAUAUCGAGAGGAACACCUGCGGCGAAAGCGGCUCACUGGACCAUAACUGACGCUGAGGCGCGAAAGCUAGGGGAGCAAACAGG